rnacentral:rRNA from 1 species
CCUACGGGUGGCAGCAGUGAGGAAUAUUGGUCAAUGGACGAGAGUCUGAACCAGCCAAGUAGCGUGAAGGAUGACUGCCCUAUGGUUUGUAAACUUCUUUUAUAUGGGAAUAAAAUGUUCCACGUGUGGGGUUUUGUAUGUACCAUAUGAAUUAGGAUCGGCUACCUUCGUGCCAGCAGCCGCGGCAUUACGGAGGAUCCGAGCGUUUUCCGGAUUUAUUGGGUUUAAAGGGAGCGUAGGUGGAUUGUUAAGUCAGUUGUGAAAGUUGGCGGCUCAACCGUAAAAUUGCAGUUGAAACUGGUGGUCUUGAGUAGAGUAGAGGUGGGCGGAAUUCGUGGUGUAGCGGUGAAAUGCUUAGAUAUCACGAAGAACACCGAUUGCGAAGGCAGUUCACUGGACUGCAACUGACACUGAGGCUCGAAAGUGUGGGUAUCAAACAGGAUUAGAUACCCUAGUAGUC